AGAAGGAGUGCGGUCCACUGGAGGUCUCCCUACAUUCUUCCUCCAUUAUCUCACUGCCUCCGGUGGCUGCUGGGAUACCGGAGGACUCGGGUCCCGGCUCGACUCAGUCCUCCAGCCGCCCGGGGAAUACCUCUAGUUCUUCCCGGCCGCCGCCGCCUCCGCCCCGCCGCUUCCUCCUCCGCCUGCCGGCCUCCUUCGCCCCGCCCCGUCCGCGCAGCUCGUCCGGCCCGCCCGCAGGCCAGCUUCUCUCGGGAGCCUCCACCCAGGCGCAUGGCUCCAUGAAGCAAGAGGAGGAGGCAGAGCGCGAGAGAUCCCGUCCGCCCCAGCCGCGUCUGGGCCAGGAGAAAAGCAAAACCAUAUUCCUGCUGCUGUCAGUUUUGAUGCACUGAGAAAACUUCAGAGACCUAAGCUUUUUCCAGAGAAGAGAAGCUUUACUGGUGUUCCAGCCCUAAGGCUCAUAUGACAUUAACAGACAAGACACUUUUCAGAAAGACAGGCAACGUGUUGGACCUUCCGGAGCUUCUCAGAAGACAGAGGGUUUUCUUUUGAGGCUGUUGUACAGUGGCCUGAUUAUAGCUCACUGUAGCCUCGAAAUUCUGGGCCGAAAUGAUCCGCCUGCCUCAGCCUCCAAAGUAGCUGAGACUACAGGCUGGUCUUGAACUCUUGGGCUGAAGAGAUUCUCCCACCUCAGCCUCCCAAGGUGUUGAGAUUACAAGCAUGAGCCACCUCACCUGGCCAAGAGCUAGUUGUUAAAAGAGCCUAGCACUACCCCCCUCUUUCUUGUUUCCUCUCUCACCAUGUGAUCUCCACACACAUUGGCUUGCCUUCCCUUUCUGACAUGAGCGGAAGCAGCCUGAGGCCCUCACCAGAUGUGGAUGCCAGUGCCAUGCUUCUUGUACAAUCUGCAGAAUCAUAAGCUAAAUACACCUCUUUUCUUUAUAAAUUACCCAGCCUUGGGUAUUCCUUUAUAGCAACACAAACGGAGAAAGACAUAUGCAAUUUGCCAUUUUAAUCAUUUUUAACUGUACAAUUUGGUGGUAUUAAUUAUAUUUACAAUGUUGUGCAACCGUUACCACCAUCUAUUACCAAAGCCCUUUCAUCACCCCAAAUAGAAACUGUGCUUAUUCAGCAAAAACUCCCAUUUUCCUCUCCUUCCAGCCCCUGGUAACCUCUGGUAACCUCUAAUCUACCUCCUGUCUCUAUGAAUUUGCCUAUUGUAAAUAUUUCACAUAAUGGUAUCAUACACUAUCCUUUUGUGUCUAGCUUAUUUAACUUAGCAUAAUGUUUUCAAGGUUCAUCCAUCUUAUAGCAUGUAUCAGUAUUCCAUUCUUCUUUUCUAUGGCUGAAUAAUAAUUGUAUGUAUAUACUGCAUCUUGUUUAUCCAUUUAUCUUUUUGUUUGUUUGUUUUUUAAAGACAGGGUUUUACCAUGUUGGCCAAGCUAGUCUCGAACUCCUGAACUCAGGUGAUCCGCCCACCUUGGCCUCACAAAGUACUGGGAUUACAGGCGUGAGCCAUCGUGCCUGGCCUAUCCGUUUAUCUUUUGAUAGACAUUUUGGUUGUUUCUACCUUUUGUCUAUUGUGAAUAAUGCUGCUAUGAACAUUAGUGUACAAGUCACUGUUUAAGUUGUUGUUUUCAAUUCUUUUGGGUAUUGUAUUAGGCCAUUCUUGCAUUGAUAUAAAGAAAUACCUGAGACUGGGUAAGUGCCAAAGAAAAAAGGGUUUAGUUGGCUCACAUUUCUGCAGUCUGUACAGGAAGCAUAGCAGCAUCUGCUUCCAGGGAGGCUUCAGGAAGCUUCCAAUCAUGAUGGAAGGCAAAGUGGGUGCAGGUAUGUCACGUGGCAAAAGCCAGAGCAAGAGAGGAAGUGGGGAGGUGCUGCACACUUUUAAACAAUCAAAUCUUGUGAGAACUCACAAUCUUGAUGACAGCUAGAGAUGGUGAAGCCACUCAUGAGAAACCACUCCCAUGAUCCAAUCACCUCCCACCAGGCCCCAACUCUAACACCGGAGAUUAAUUACAUUUCAACAUGAGAUUUGCAUAGGAACAAACAGUCAAACUAUAUCCGGUAUAUACUUAAGAGUAGAAUUACUGGGUGAUAAUUCUGUUUUACGUUUUGAGGAAUUGCCAAACUAUCUUCCUCAGCAGUUAAACCAUUUACAUUCCCACCAGCAGUAUACUAGGUUUCCAAUUUCUCCACAUGUUCAACAACACUAGUUAUUUUUUCUUCUAAUUAUAGCCAUUCUAGUAGGUACAAAGUGGUAUCUCAUUGUGGUUUUAGCAUCUUUUGAGUUGCUUAUUGACCAUUUACAUGUCUUUUUUUUAGAGAAGUGUCUAAGUAUUUUGUCCAUUAAAAAAUUGAGUUAUUUAUCUUUU
rnacentral:lncRNA from 1 species